UUUGCUAUUCCCGUUUCUUCCGUUGCUUCAGAAUCAGCAUUUAGUACCGGAAAAAGAAUUUUGGAUCCUUUUCGAAGCUCCUUAAAGCCCAAGACACUUGAGGCCUUAAUUUUGUUACAAAAUUGGUUACGAACACCAAUAGACAUGGAUUCAUCUACCCUUGGAGUCGAGGAGGAGGAGAUUGAUAUUGCUGAGUCUGAGCUAUUCAGUUUCAGUGACCUUGCUUCUUCUUCUAUCGUCAUAGACUCAUAGACAAGGCUUUCAGCCAUUCGGAGGUAAAACAUCCACAAACUUGCAGGCUUGCAGCGACUCGCGGUUGGUCGCUUUAUAUGAUAUUAGGCUUUAGUAUAGUACGCAAUACUCAAUAGUAAUGCACUCUUUUAUCUUUUGAGCUUUGAACAAUUGAACUCUGUUCCUUUUUAUUGUUAGCUUUA